UCACAUCUUUGACUACCUUAAAUAUUAGUUGGUGCUUAAGCUUGACAUCAUUACCAAAUGAAUUGGGGAACCACUCAUCUUUGACUACCUUAAAUUUGGAGAGGUGCUCAAGGUUGACAUCAUUGCCAAAUGAAUUGGGCAACCUCACAUCUUUGACUACCUUAAAUAUGAGGAGGUGCUCAAGCUUGACAUCAUUGCCAAAUGAAUUGGGCAACCUCUCAUCUUUGACUACCUUAGAUAUUAGUUGGUGCUCAAGCUUGACAUCAUUGCCAAAUAAAUUGGGGAACCACUCAUCUUUGACUACCUUGAAUAUGGAGGUUUAUAUCUCCAAUCAUUUUUAAUCAUAAAAUUAAUAAUAAUUAAUAAUAAUUUUUAAUAAAUAAAAUUAAACAUAGAAAAUGAUAAAUUAUUUUGUUAGAAGCUAUUAUGAAAUUGUUUGAAAUUAGAAAUUCAUUUCUAAGUAAUAAUCUAAUUAUCUAUCUAUCUAUCUAUCUAUAUAUAUAUAUAUAUAUAUAUUUAUAUUUAUUUGUAUGUUAUAAAUUUUAUUUCAUUUAAAAUUUUAAUAUAUAUUUUUUUAAUGUUAUAUAUAUAAGGAGUAGAAAAAUAAAUAGUUUGUAGAAAAUGAUAAUUUUAAAAAGAAUAAGAAGAAAUCUAUUUGAUAAAAUGAUAAUCCAAUUUCCAUAUUGUAUUUUAGAUUUAGAAAAUAAAAUUAAAACUAUAAUAAAUAAAUAAAUAAAUAAAAACACGAUCUUCAUGAAAAAUGAAUUAAAUAAAUAUUAAUAAAAAAAGAAAAUAAACAAGAAAACAAGACCUUAUUGCAUAAGAAAUAUUCAAAAAUAAUAGUAUUUUUUAAUAACUAAAGUAUUGAAAACUUUCUACAUUGUAUAAUUUGACUCCAAUAAAAUAUAGCUAAAUUCUCUCAUCUUCAUAAAGACAUAUAUAUAUAUAUAUAUAUAUAUAUUUGUUACUUUAUAAGUUGAUUAUAAUUUUUAAUUGUUUUAAUUUUUUAAUUUUUUUGCUGCCAAGAUAAACCUUGUGGUGCACUUGAAAUGUAGAUUACCAACUUCUUUGGUGCUAUUUUACAAUCUUGGAUACAACAUGCAAUCUUUUUGUAGUUUAAAAUCCUUAUAAACUAGUCAAAUUAAAUUUAGUGGAGAUUUUUCCAACUACAAUUCUUUGCUCCCUGUUAUUCACUGCAAACUGAAAGAACUACUGAAUAUUCACCAAUACGUUGAGGUCAUCAACAGCUCGGACAACUUCAAGAAUUGUGAAAUCACCGAUAGGCUCAAAGAGGUCGUUAUUGACUAAUAUUAAUUGAGCUUCAGCACCUUGAUGGCAACUAAGGAAUCAUGAACUUGAAGAGUUUUGGAAGCAACAUGAAUUAGGGAGACAUUAACAGUGGAAUUUAAGACCAAAAUCAAUUGAUGAUGAGCUCAUUAUCAAGCUCGAUUGUCAGCCUUGAAUCUGAUCUCCGUUGUAAUGAUUUUUGCUUUGCUAACGCUUGCUUUUGUUAAUGUGAUUAGAAUCUACAAAACUUAGUGGUGGAUUUAAGUUCAUGGCAAUAACGAUUACCUCAACCUUUAGAAUACACCAAGGCAUUUCUUUAGCACAUUCAGAUCACUUGUAUAGUAAAAAAUUCUUCACUCAUUGUUACUA
rnacentral:lncRNA from 1 species